GAAAACACUUAAACAGAAAAGGUGUAGAAGCCAAGAGAAGAAAUUAUUUGAUUGUCCAGUUGGCUGUUGAUUGUAUUCAAUGUUUCAAUUUCAUAACCUUGAGGCAUUUCUGUACUUACAUUUUAGUUUGCUUAAGUAGGCUGUCAUGGCAUUAGAGCCACAUCAGUCUAAUGGCCUUCUUUUUAAUUAACUUGACAGGACACAUGGAGAUUCAGAUGCCAAAACACCAGAGAUAUCUAGCAGGUUGCCGGAUAUAUGAAUCUCAUGUUAGGUUUUUUUCUCUUUAAUGAUUUUGUAUUUUUGGUUUUGUUUCUGAUACAUCUACAGCCAAUAGGUUUCUCAUCAUUGGUGGCAACAACAAUCGGGAAUUUGACUUUAUAUUCUGACCAUUUGGUGGUCUCACUAAGUUAAUUGGUAGUUAUAGAGAUAUAUUCUCUUUUGGAUAAGAGAUGACAGAGAAUCUAGUUGGUCCUUUUUGUUUGUUUGCCUUUUUUGUCUAUUUAUGAGUUCAAAUCAGUCAAGAUUUUCAUGGCUCCUGGAAAGAAGAAUGACUCUAUAUCUGAUCUGAGAGAGAGACAGAGCAUGAGUGGGUGAGGGGCAGAGAGAAAGGAAGACACAGAAUCCGAAGCAGGCUCCAGGCUCUGAGCUGUCAGCACUGAGCCCAACGCGGGGCUGCAACUCACAGACUUCAAGAUCGUGACCUGAGCCGAAGUUGGACGCUCAACUGACUGAGCCACCCAGACACCCCAAAGCUGUAUACUUUCUUUGUGUCUAUGCAUCUCUGUGUCUUUAUGGCUAUAACCAAGAAAGGCCCUCACAUGUUGUGGAGUGUGAAAUGUUUACUAAGUUUGGAGACCUCUAAUAAAUUAGAUUAGUAUGUCUCUUUUUCUUAAUUAAAUUUUUUGUUUAUUUUGAGAAAGAGAGAGAGAGCGCGUGCAGGGGAGGGACAGAGAAAAAGAGAGAAUCCCAAGCAGGCUCUGUGUGAACAGUGUGGAGCCCAACAUAAGGCUGUCAGUGGGACCGGGCUGGAACCCAGGAACAGUGACAUCAUUGAUGAAGGAGCAUGAGGCAG